rnacentral:rRNA from 1 species
UUGAAACACUGGUUCUUGUAUGAUUACCUAAGUUAAACAACAUCUAGCCUGGUCAGUACCUAGAUGGGUGACUGCUUGGGAAUACCAGGUGCUGUAAG